rnacentral:tRNA from 1 species
GCUCCAGUAGCUUAGUCUAAAGCAUCGGUUUUGUAAUCCGAAGAUCGGAGAUUGAAACCUCCCUGGGGCC